CUUUUUGCCCCCGCCGCCUAAGCUUUUUGCCUGCGCCGCCGCGGCUUUUUGCCCCCCGUCGCCGCGGCUUUUUGCCGCCGCGGCUUUCUGCUCCCGCCGCCGCGGCUCUGAGGGCGGGAGCGGCAGACUCCGCUGCCAGCUCUACUGGCGUCCUGGCAAGGGCAGCGCCGAGGGGCGCUCCCGGUCCAGCUCUCCCGGCUCGGGGGUUCCUUGCCUAGGCGCCCGAGCCCCGGGCUCCCUGCCUCGGCCGCUGUGGCCUGCAUAGGGCGGCACUGCGCGCGGAGGCGAUGGGAGAGAAGAAGGAGGGCGGUGGCGGGGGUGAUGCAGCGGCCGCUGAGGGUGGCGCAGGGGCCCCGGCCAGCCCGGGGCUGCAGCAGUGCGGACAGCUCCAGAAGCUCAUCGGCAUCUCCAUUGGCAGCCUGCGCGGGCUGGGCACCAAGUGCGCUGUGUCCAACGACCUCACCGAGCAGGAGAUACGGACCCUGGAGCAUUGUCCCAAUUCCUUCUUCUAAUGAAGAAAUACGCUUAGUUGAUGAUGCGUUUGGAAAAAUUUGUCACAUGGUCAGUGAUGGCUCUUGGGUGGUUCAUGUUCAGGCAGCAAAACUGUUGGGCUCUAUGGAGCAAGUCAGUUCUCAUUUCUUGGAGCAGACCCUUGACAAGAAGCUGAUGUCAGAUCUGAGGAGGAAACGUACUGCACAUGAGCGUGCCAAGGAACUUUACAGUUCAGGGGAGUUUUCCAGUGGCAGAAAGUGGGAAGAUGAUGCUCCCAAGGAAGAAGUAGAUACCGGGGCUGUGAACUUGAUUGAGUCAGGAGCUUGUGGAGCUUUUGUUCAUGGGUUGGAAGAUGAGAUGUAUGAUACAACAGAGAAAUGCAUAAUGUCCAGCGAAUUUAUUAAAGUUCCAAAGUCGGUCGCGCGCCGUGGCUCACGCCUGUAAUCUCAACACUUCGGGAGGCCGAGGCAUGUGGAUCAUGAGGUCAGGAGUUGGAGACUAGCCUGACCAACAUGGUGAAACCCCGUCACUACUAAAAAUACAGAAAUCAGCCAGGCAUGGUGGCACGCGGCUGUAAUCCCCGCUACUCAGGAGGCUGAGGCAGGAGAAUUGCUUGAACCUGGGAGGCAGAGGUUGCAGUGAGCCGAGAUGGCGCCACUGCACUCCAGCCUGGACGAAAGAGUGAGUGAGACUCCUUCUC
rnacentral:lncRNA from 1 species